rnacentral:rRNA from 1 species
GUCUACGGCCAUGCCACCCUGAACAAGCCUGAUCCUGCUAGAUCUCAGAAGCUAAGCAGGGUCGGGCCUGGUUAGUACUUGGAUGGGAGACCACCUAGGAAGAUCAGGUGUAAAAA